UUCUUCAUAAUCAUGAUAUGCCUGUGUAAGGGAAAUAACUCUACCUAAAUCGAAGACAUACUUUUUAUACAUAAGUAAAUGUACUAAUUUAAAAAAAAAAACAUGCAGAAAGUAUUUCCGAAUAACCAAAUUUGUCAAGAUACAAAUUACUUACAUAAGUUACAUUGAAGUUGAAUAACCUAUUAAUACAUGGAAUAAUAAACUUGACAAUGUCAUGAAAGAAAAACAAAGUAUAUUAUGUAUUAAGAAUAUUUUAUAGAUAUGAUUAUGUUUAAAAUAAUUUAGAAUAAACCAACUGUUG
rnacentral:lncRNA from 1 species